UUCAUAUUUAUUAGUUUUUGCAUUAUCUACAAUUUAAAUAUUAAAUUCCAAAAGAUGGAACACAACUUAAACAUCGAGGUUAGACAGGUUGCCGAUAGGAAUCGUAAGUUAAAGAUGAUGGCAGCCGCAUUAUUUGGAGGCGUUGCUCAAGUAGCCUUAAUGCAUCCUAUGGACACGGUUGAGACAAGAAUGCAAGUAAUGGGGUAUAAGGGACAAGUAACGGCUUUCCCUUCCAUCUACAAGGGAUCUUGGGACUGCUGUGUGAAGACGUUAAAACAAGAAGGGCCUCUCGGCAUGUUUCGAGGUUUAUAGCUAUCAAGCCCUAUUAAAUCUAAAUAGACUUAAGUCGAGUAUUAAUUUUAAAAAGACUUAACUCCAAAGAAAUUCUAGAAAAACUGUUACUUAGAGCUGGGGCUAAAUCGCCUUUUUAGUUUUUUUUGUGCGCCUAGGUCCAUUCAAAAUUGACAUGCGACCGCACUUUCGCCAGUUUAGGAUUUGAUGGACGAUAAUUAAGAAAUUAAUAUUUGUCAAAUGUUACUAGCAUAAAAUGAGAUAUCUUUUAUCAAGAAUGUCGCCUUUUCUAAUGGCUCAAGCACCAUUGUCUGCAUGUGGUAUCUUGGUUUUUGACAUGGGCAAACUUGUGAUGCAGAAAGUAACCAAAAAUCCCCAACUAAGUGAUACAGAAACCACUGCAGCAAGGCUUGUCUCGGUGUGUUGAUCUCUUCUAUGCUUCUGACUCCAGGAGAGAGAGAAUCAAAUGUUUGAUUCAAUGUCAGACCCCAGAAACUCCACAAAAUUAUAAUGACCCCAUGGACUGUAUUAAAAAACUCAUUGCUCAAGGUGGUAUCUCCAAUCUUUAUAAAGGAUUUUGGAUGACGUAUCUUCGAGGCAUCUCUCAGGUGGCUAUUUAUUUCCCCACAAUUCGUGUAAUUAACUAUCAUAUUACACCUGAUAACGGAGUAAUGAGCAUGGAGCGAGCAUUCCUUGCCUGAAUGUCUGCCAGCGUCGUAGUGUGGACGGCAAUUCUUCCGAUAGAUGGAGUCAAAACCAUUUUACAAACGGCUCCUGCUGAAGGCUCCCAUCCUAAAACUGUUAGAUCCAUAGUAACCGCGAUAUAUAAAAAUGACGGAAUUCCGGGAUUUUUUCGUGGAGUUAUGCCAGUCGCAAUUAGAACAAUGAUAGCAAUUGGUUCAGUAUUUGGCGGACUUAACGUGGUCAUGCACGCGUUGAACGUUGAUGAAUUAACG